UCAGAAGGUCGGCGGUUCGAAUCCCCGCGACGGGGUGAGCUCCCGUUGCUCAGUCCCAGCUCCUGCCAACCUAGCAGUUUGAAAGCACGUCAAAGUGCAAGUAGAUAAGUAGGUACUGCUCCGGCGGGAAGGUAAACGGCGUUUCCGUGUGCUGCUCUGGUUCGCCAGAAGUGGCUUAGUCCUGCUGGCCACAUGACCCGGAAGCUGCAUGCCGGCUCCCUCAGCCAGUAAAGUGAGAUGAGUGUCGCAACCCCAG
rnacentral:lncRNA from 1 species